rnacentral:rRNA from 1 species
GAUGAACGCUGGCGGCGUGCCUAAUACAUGCCAGUCGAGCGAACAGACGAGGAGCUUGCUCCUCUGACGUUAGCGGCGGACGGGUGAGUAACACGUGGAUAACCUACCUAUAAGACUGGGAUAACUUCGGGAAACCGGAGCUAAUACCGGAUAAUAUAUUGAACCGCAUGGUUCAAUAGUGAAAGACGGUUUUGCUGUCACUUAUAGAUGGAUCCGCGCCGCAUUAGCUAGUUGGUAAGGUAACGGCUUACCAAGGCAACGAUGCGUAGCCGACCUGAGAGGGUGAUCGGCCACACUGGAACUGAGACACGGUCCAGACUCCUACGGGAGGCAGCAGUAGGGAAUCUUCCGCAAUGGGCGAAAGCUUGACGGAGCAACGCCGCGUGAGUGAUGAAGGUCUUCGCAUCGUAAAACUCUGUUAUUAGGGAAGAACAAAUGUGUAAGUAACUAUGCACGUCUUGACGGUACCUAAUCAGAAAGCCACGGCUAACUACGUG